rnacentral:rRNA from 1 species
UACGUAGGGUGCAAGCGUUAAUCGGAAUUACUGGGCGUAAAGCGUGCGCAGGCGGUCUUGCAAGACAGAUGUGAAAUCCCCGGGCUCAACCUGGGAACUGCAUUUGUGACUGCAAGGCUGGAGUGCGGCAGAGGGGGAUGGAAUUCCGCGUGUAGCAGUGAAAUGCGUAGAGAUCGACAAGAACACCGGUGGCGAAGGCGGGUCUCUGGACAGUUCCUGACGCUGAGGGACGAAAGCUAGGGGAGCAAACGGG